UACAGAGGUCUCAAGCGUUGUUCGGAUUCAUUGGGCGUAAAGGGCGCGUAGGCGGCAAGGCAAGUCGGGUGUGAAAGCUUGGGGCUUAACCCCGAAAGGGCACUCGAAACUGCCCUGCUAGAGGGCCGGAGAGGAGAUCGGAAUUCACGGUGUAGCAGUGAAAUGCGUAGAGCUCGUGAGGAAGACCGGUGGCGAAGGCGGAUCUCUGGACGGCCCCUGACGCUGAGGUGCGAAGGCUAGGGGAGCAAACGGG
rnacentral:rRNA from 1 species